CUGCCAGUAGUCAUAUGCUUGUCUCAAAGAUUAAGCCAUGCAUGUCUCAGUACAAGCCAAAUUAAGGUGAAACCGCGAAAGGCUCAUUAAAUCAGUUAUGGUUCCUUAGAUCGUACCCACAAUUACUUGGAUAACUGUGGUAAUUCUAGAGCUAAUACAUGCAAACAGAGCUCCGACCGGAGACGGAAGGAGUGCUUUUAUUAGAUCAAAACCAAUCGGUGGCGAGUUCGCGCUCGUCAUCGUACAAUUUGGUGACUCUGAAUUACUUUACGCUGAUCGCACGGUCUCGCACCGGCGACGCAUCUUUCAAAUGUCUGCCUUAUCAACUGUCGAUGGUAGGUUCUGCGCCUACCAUGGUUGUAACGGGUAACGGGGAAUCAGGGUUCGAUUCCGGAGAGGGAGCCUGAGAAACGGCUACCACAUCCAAGGAAGGCAGCAGGCGCGCAAAUUACCCACUCCCGGCACGGGGAGGUAGUGACGAAAAAUAACGAUACGGGACUCAUCCGAGGCCCCGUAAUCGGAAUGAGUACACUCUAAACCCUUUAACGAGGAUCAAUUGGAGGGCAAGUCUGGUGCCAGCAGCCGCGGUAAUUCCAGCUCCAAUAGCGUAUAUUAAAGU
rnacentral:rRNA from 1 species